AGUGACAGAGUGAGGGAGGGGUGACUUGUGACAGAGAGGGGUGACUAGUGAGGGAGGGGGUAACUGGUGACAGAAUGAGGGAGGGGGUGACUAGUAACAGAGGGAGGGGGUGACAGAGUGAGUGAGAUGGUAACUAGUGACAGAGUGAGGGAGGUGGUGACUGUCACUAGUCACCCCAUCCCUCCCUCUGUCACUAGUCACUCCCUCCCUAACUCUGUCACUAGUCACCCACUCACUCUGUCACUAGUCACCCACUCCCGCACUCUGUCACUAGUCACCCCAUCACUCUGUCACUAGUCACUCCCUCCUUAACUCUGUCACUAGUCAUCCUCUCCCUCACUCUGUCACCAGUCACCAGCUCCCUCUGUCACUAGU